AAAGACUGAAGAAGGAUAUCGCCUUGCUAUAUAGCAUGGAAUCCUGCUCGGAUCUUUAAUACAAGAAAUCAGUUUGAGGUUGCUGAUUUCCCUUCAUUGGUACAAUUUGUACCUUCAGAUGUUUGUGCUGAAAACUCUAUUUCUCUGAGACGUGCCGUAAAAUCUGAUUUGAUAUGGAGGACAAGGUUUUUUUUUAAUGUUGAUAUCGUGGUAAAACAGAUGUGAAUUUGAUAGAUAUGCCUGUAGAAAAUCAGGGCAAAUGUGUAAUAGUCGAUGCCAUCCAAAUUUAGUUUGUAAAUAAAAUGUUUAAUAUUAAAAUAUUAUACAUAACAUUAACAUUUAUCAAAACGACUGUACGCAUAAAAAUAGUUUUAAUGACAAUUUCAUUUUAUUUCAUAUUCUCAACCUAAAAACAAUUGCUAAAACAAU
rnacentral:lncRNA from 1 species